GGAGGAGGAGGAGGAGGAGGGGGGGUGGGGUUGUCAAUAGAUGAGCUCACGACGGUGGCCAUAUUGAAUAACUUGUCUCUUUCAAUUGAGCGGUGCUAGAUCAGAAAUAAUUAUGAAUAAAGUCUCUUGGAAUGAAUCCAGAUCUCGUAUGUGUGUUUUCUAGCCAAUGCCUUGACAGACUGGAGAUAGGGAGCAAGACUUAAGUUGUCUUCCCCACCUAAUCUGGACAAAAAUUGCAAUGGCUGAAAUCAUCACUGUUUUAAUUGUAUCUAAAAAAAAAUUGCGAACAUAAAGAGUAAUUAUGUCUAAUCGAUGGUAGAAUUUAAUACCAAAAAGCCAGGGAUCCUAACAGACAAAACCAUAAUUCGAUUCAAGAAGAUGAAUUGCAGCUAUAAUUAGAAUCAAAUAAGAAAGAUUGACGCUAUCAGAAAUGGAUUUACCUAUCCACUAAACAAGAAAAGCAGCAUGCAUGGCAUCUUCUCUGAUAUGUUCAAAUAAAAGUAUGAACCAACAUUGAAAGUAGGGAGCUUCAAUUUCCAUUGAGAUGAUUGCUUUAGAAAAGCAAUUAAAAAGAGCAUUAUGUUAUUUUGGAAAAAAUAAUGCGAAGUCACACAGACGUCGGUAGAAUGGGCAUGCAAGUUAAGAACCAAUCUACUUGCGAAUUAGAUUUGGAUAGGGGA
rnacentral:misc_RNA from 1 species